AUGAGCUACAUCGUGGGGUGGCACGAGGCGUAUGGCUUCGGGUACCACCCGAUGACUGGGCGGCACAAGAUCGUGCAUGUGGCGGCCUACGAUAGGAAGGGAAACUCCCAUCAGGUGAAGGUGUUCACGCUGGGGGAGUCGUCAUGGAGAAACGUUGCAACGGGCUCUGUCCCGAGAUGCCAAUACAGCGCCGGCAUUGUCGGCGUCAACGGCACCAUGUAUUGGGCUGCGAAGCGCGGAAGGAAGCUCAUGGCACUGGACCUCGACCAUGAGCGUCUCUCUUUCAUCAAGUCGCUACCUGAUGUGUCGUCUGGAAGCUGGAACCUGACGGAGGUGCGGGGGAGGUUGGGGGUGGUGUUUUACGCGUUUCCCCAUCAGUGUGAGGUGACAUCUGCAGGUUUGGGUUCUAGAGGGUGCAGCGACAAUGAGAGAACACACAUGGAGCCGUUGGUACACCGUGAGAAGGGACAUCUCAUCGUCGAUGACCUGGCGACUCACAAGGCCACACUUUGCUCACAGGGAGUACCUCCUCACAGAGGAAUUGUCUGA
rnacentral:rRNA from 1 species